UCCUGCAGCCUUUCCCAGACUCCCUCUCCUUUGCAUUUUGCACUCUGUGUGUACAUGCUAAGAGUGCGGGGUGGCAGGAGGUGGAAAGGAGUCUGUGCACACAGUCCUUCCCAUCUCUGAUCUGUAUUGUCUUACACAAGCUUGGGACUCAAUAUUUGUUAAAAACAUGAAUUUAUAAAUAGGGAAAACUAAAGCCCAUAAAGGUUAAUUGACACAACUUGCAGAUGUUAGCAGAGUGACAGUAUUACUAAUGUAGUAAGCCAGAUUGCCCAAGUUUAAGCCAACUUCCUAUCAUUUAUUAGCUGGUGUGACCUGGAAAAAAUUAACCACUGUGUGCCUCAAUUUUCUUAUCAUAUCAGUAAAAUGAGAAUGAUACUCAUCCAUAGAAUGGCCAUGAGGAUUAAGUGAGUUAAGAUAUAGGAAAUGUUUGGGAUGGUACCCAGCACAUGGUGAGCACUCAACGGUUAGCUGCUGCUAUUGUUGCUAUAAAUGGCAGAGCCAGAAUUAGAACUGAGGACCUUUGGCUCCCAGUCCAGGGUUCUUCAUGCAGGAUCCAUCUUCUAGCACUGGGUCCCUACUCUUGGUUCAAUAUCCCUGCUCCGUGCAAAAGAAACACACGCACAAGCCUAUGUGUGUACACACACACACACACAAACAUACGUUCAAGUCAGCAGACAGGUAAACAUUGCUUUUCCAUUUAAGGUCAUCUACAACUUUAAUGAAACUAUAAAAUCUUUAGUUGGAGAGGAGAGGGGAGGGGAGGAGAGAAAGGGAAUCCUCUGUCAUUCACAGUGCAGGACAGCCUCUUAUAUCUAAGAAAGACGUGAGCCCUUGGGGUCCUUUGUAGCAUCUCUAGCUCCAAAAUAAUCCUACUAGCAAUUUCUGAAAUGCCAUCAUUACAGGUUUACAAUGUCACAUGGAUAAUUGAUUCUGGGUUCAGGCAGAACUGGGUUCAGAAUGCAGCCCUCUCACUGCCAGCUCUGGGACAGCAGGCAAGUUCUUGAUCAUCCAUCCCUGAGCCUCUGCUCUUCCUCCUGCACUGGGCUGUAGCAGCAUCCAUGAACUGACCUGUGCAAGGCAAUUAGCCCAGUGCCCAGCACCCUGUGUUGGCUGUGGGUACUAGUCCUUUGGGCUAAGUAGCACUCCCCUCCUCUCAUUCCAAGUUAGGUAAAACCCUCCUGAGAGUGCUUCUCAAUGGGGAGCUAAGUUUCAUGUGACUUUAUCAGGAUCCAGAAGGCUGGAAUUCCCCAGGGAUUAGGUGCUGCUGGGAUGAAAGUGGGAAGCCCCCAAAAGCCGUCCACCAAAGCACAGCUUGUGAAGUCUUUCUCUGGCUACUGGAGAAACACUGACUUCUCCUCCCUCACAGUCCUUCCACUCUUUUCCAUUCCUUUGUACACCCACUCAUGAAAGUGUCUUUUCUUUCAGAUACUGCUUCCACCAAAGAAAUCAAAGAGUCUAAUUUUGGUUCUCACUUGAUUUAGGAAGUAGCCUUUCUUACACCUACCAUCAUGUGUCCCAGAUGCAUUUUCCUGGUGGAGGAAACAAAUCCUAUCCAACCAUAUUGUCCCCUCUCGUGCACUCUUCAGACUGAACCAGCAGAGUGUUGAGAGGACAAGUGAUUAGGACUGUCUCCUGGAUGUAUGACUGGAAGCUGAAUGGUUUAUCAGAAGAUACUGGUGCUGUUUUGUCAGUUUCUCCUCACUUGAGUCAACAUUCCAGAACUCUACCAUGUAUGUAAUGACACUUUUAUUUUGUAUAUUUUUUUAUUGGAGUUCAAUUUGCCAACGUAUAGUAUAAUACCCAGUGCUCAUCCCGUAAUGACACUUUUUUUUAAGAUUUUAUUUAUUCAUGAGAGAUAGAGAGAGAGAGAAAGAGGGCAGGGGCAGAGACACAGGCAGAGGGAGAAGCAGACUCCAUGCAGUGAGCCUGACCUGGGACUUGAUCCCAGGCCUCCAGAAUCACUCCCUGAGCUUAAGGCUGUGCUAAGCCACUGAGCCACCCAGGCUUCCCCCACACACACACACCCACCCCCGCCCUGUAAUGACACUUUUCUGAUGCAAAUUCCCCAUUCCCAAAUGUGUCAGAGAAUACAGUUUUAUCUUUAAAUGAAAUGAAGACCUUUAAACAGCUUCUAACGCUUCCAAAACAGAACUAAGUCCUAACUUCCCCCUCCACCCCUCAACAACAGAGCUGUCUUUGAAAUCUAUGUGGUGGAACCAUAACUUCUAUAUAAGCAGCAUUCAACCAAAUACAAGUUCUAUCAUUUUCUGCACCAAGGCUGCUGAUAUGUUUCCUCAAAGGAGAACUCUUUUCAUGAGAGAGACUCUUAUAGAAGACAGAAACUUAGAAUACUAUACUUUGUGUGGCUAUGUCCUCAUGAACUUUGCCAUGAAAUAUGGUGGGUGCUGGCAGAGAACUUUCCUGAGCCUAGGGUCCAGGCUCUUUAGACAUCUCCUCUGAGCCAAACCAAACUGGAGGAAAAAGUGUGACUAAGGCUGGUCAGUAGGUGGCGACCUUUCCCCAGCAUUGGUCCCGACCCUAGCUCAGAGGCACAGGGACAUGUUCCUCCUGGUCUAGGCUCCAGAACGCUGGACUUUGUUUCAUGUUACCUCUUGGGAAACUGUUGUCCCAAAAUACUACGAUACCCUAACAUGUGUAAGGAAACCAGAAAAGGCAUUAUCCAUUCCAUUUUAAAAGAAAAUACAUUAUCACCUGGAAUGACCACAAUGCAAAUUUUUUUACAAAAGGUAUUCCCCUUUAUUAAGCAUAUACUACACCUCCAUCUGCUCCCCCCAUGCCACUGUCAUUCCAUCCCCACCAAGUAAGAUUUCCCUGGCUUUUUCUGGGUUUGGAAGAGAGGGGAGGAGUCCCACAAACUGAACUCUAAGGGACAGUCAUUAAAUUCAUCUACCCUUGCAAAUCUAGUGAUUGCUCAUAUGAUCAUCAGUGUGUCUGUCACAGAUUCUCCCAGAAAACUCCACAACUUGUAUUUACUUUUAAAAUCCACCUUCAUUUUCUGUGGAUCUUAGCUGCAUUGACUUUAUUGUAGGUCAAGAGAUAUUUUAGCAAUUCCUACUACUUAGCCAGAAACAGAGGAGCAUCUUCAAGUUACUUAAUGUAGAUGGAAGAUGAAGGUCCGUGUGCAGGGCACUCCAUGCUGCAGACAAAGAGAGUGUGCAUGCACCAUGGUAGGUCCCAUACAAGAGCGCUCACCGAGGCCAGUGUGGGUAGGGAGGCUCCACAGAGAACACUAGACUAAGAGUCUUGAGGCACAGCUGAGGUUUGGACUGUUCCAGAAGAGAAAGAGCAGUCCUUCUGGGGGGAGAAGCAAGGGAAGAGAAAGUAAGAGGCCUAGGGGACAAGAUGAUGAAGAGAUUCCAUCAGUGAAGGUGCAUUAAGUAUAACAGCAGAGGCAGGAGUGAGCAAGGGGAGGUCAAGGGUGAGGAGUGAAAUGGCCUUGUUGGAGGGAACAAUUCAUGUUGAGAAGCAGUGGGGAAGAAAGUCCGCAAAGCAGGCUGGG
rnacentral:lncRNA from 1 species